rnacentral:rRNA from 1 species
AAGUGGCGGGCGCGCCUGGACCCGUAGCGCAGUAAUACACCUCGCUCGCGGCGUCCCGGCGCGUGCCGGCCGUAAAACCCCUUUAUCUCAAGGUUGACCUCGGAUCAGGUAGGAAUACCCGCUGAACUUAAGCAUAUCAAUAAGCGGAGGAAAAGAAACCAACAGGGAUUGCCCUAGUAACGGCGAGUGAAGCGGCAACAGCUCAAAUUUGAAAUCUGGCCUCGGCCCGAGUUGUAAUUUGCAGAGGAUGCUUCUGGCGCGGUGCCUUCCGAGUCCCCUGGAACGGGGCGCCACAGAGGGUGAGAGCCCCGUAUGGUUGGACGCCUAGCCUGUGUGAAGCUCCUUCGACGAGUCGAGUAGUUUGGGAAUGCUGCUCUAAAUGGGAGGUAAAUUCCUUCUAAAGCUAAAUACCGGCCAGAGACCGAUAGCGCACAAGUAGAGUGAUCGAAAGAUGAAAAGCACUUUGAAAAGAGAGUCAAACAGCACGUGAAAUUGUUGAAAGGGAAGCGCUCGUGACCAGACGUGCGCCGGGCCGAUCCUCCGGUGUUCUCACCGGGGCCCUCGGCCCGGCUCAGGCCAGCAUCGGUUUUCGCUGGGGGACAAAGGCGCCGGGAAAGUAGCUCCCUCGGGAGUGUUAUAGCCCGGCGCGUAAUACCCCAGC